rnacentral:rRNA from 1 species
UACGUAGGGUGCGAGCGUUGUCCGGAAUUACUGGGCGUAAAGAGUUCGUAGGCGGUUUGUCGCGUCGUGUGUGAAAUCCCGCAGCUCAACUGCGGGCUUGCAGGCGAUACGGGCAGACUUGAGUACUGCAGGGGAGACUGGAAUUCCUGGUGUAGCGGUGAAAUGCGCAGAUAUCAGGAGGAACACCGGUGGCGAAGGCGGGUCUCUGGGCAGUAACUGACGCUGGAGGAACGAAAGCCGUGGGUAGCGAACAGG